rnacentral:rRNA from 1 species
GAUGAACGCUGGCUACAGGCUUAACACAUGCAAGUCGAGGGGAAACGACGGGGAAGCUUGCUUCCCCGGGCGUCGACCGGCGCACGGGUGAGUAACGCGUAUCCAACCUGCCUCUGACUGAGGGAUAACCCGUCGAAAGUCGGCCUAAUACCUCAUGGCAUCGUCUGCGGGCAUCCAACGACGAUUAAAGAUUUCAUCGGUCAGGGAUGGGGAUGCGUCUGAUUAGCUUGUUGGCGGGGUAACGGCCCUCCAAGGCUACGAUCAGUAGGGGUUCUGAGAGGAAGGUCCCCCACAUUGGAACUGAGACACGGUCCAAACUCCUACGGGAGGCAGCAGUGAGGAAUAUUGGUCAAUGGGCGGGAGCCUGAACCAGCCAAGUAGCGUGCAGGAUGACGGCCCUAUGGGUUGUAAACUGCUUUUAUGCGGGGAUAAAGUGAGAGACGUGUCCUUCAUUGCAGGUACCGCAUGAAUAAGGACCGGCUAAUUCCGUG